rnacentral:rRNA from 1 species
CCCUUAGAUGUUCUGGGCCGCACGCGCGCUACACUGACGAAUGCAACGAGCUUAUAACCUUGGCCGAAAGGUCUGGGUAAUCUCCAAAUUUCGUCGUGAUGGGGAUAGAUUAUUGCAAUUAUUAAUCUUCAACGAGGAAUGCCUAGUAAGCGCAAGUCAUCAGCUUGCGUUGAUUACGUCCCUGCCCUUUGUACACACCGCCCGUCGCUCCUACCGAUUGAAUGGUCCGGUGUAGCGUUCGGACCGUGGCCUUUGGACGGUUCGCCGUCUGUUGGCUGCGGGAAGUUCGUUAAACCUUAUCAUUUAGAGGAAGGAGAAGUCGUAACA